GGUGGGGUAGCUCAGUUGGUUAGAGCGUUGGUCUCAUAAGCCGAAGGUCGUGGGUUCGAUCCCCACUCCCACCA
rnacentral:tRNA from 1 species